rnacentral:rRNA from 1 species
CCUACGGGCGGCUGCAGUGGGGAAUAUUGGACAAUGGGGGGAACCCUGAUCCAGCCAUGCUGCGUGUGUGAAGAAGGCCCUCGGGUUGUAAAGCACUUUCAGUGAGGAAGAACGCCUGGUGGUUAAUACCCAUCAGGAAAGACAUCACUCACAGAAGAAGCACCGGCUAACUCCGUGCCAGCAGCCGCGGUAAUACGGAGGGUGCGAGCGUUAAUCGGAAUUACUGGGCGUAAAGCGCGCGUAGGUGGCUUGAUAAGCCGGUUGUGAAAGCCCCGGGCUCAACCUGGGAACGGCAUCCGGAACUGUCAAGCUAGAGUGCAGGAGAGGAAGGUAGAAUUCCCGGUGUAGCGGUGAAAUGCGUAGAGAUCGGGAGGAAUACCAGUGGCGAAGGCGGCCUUCUGGACUGACACUGACACUGAGGUGCGAAAGCGUGGGUAGCAAACAGGAUUAGAUACCCUUGUAGUC